rnacentral:rRNA from 1 species
CUUGUACACACCGCCCGUCACGUCAUGAAAGCCAGCAACACCUGAAGUCGAUGAGCCAACUCUUUUUAGCGAGAGGCAGUUGCCGAGGGUGGGGCCGGUGAUUGGGACGAAGUCGUAACAAGGUAGCCGUACCGGAAGGUGCGGCUGGAUCACCUCCUUUCUAGGGAG